GAUCCUAAAGCUAAACUGAAGGCUGAAAAUUGCAAAAAGCAGAAGAAAGCUAGAUGUAAUGGCAGAUGGUUAGCUCAUCCCAUGAAAGAUGUCUGCACCAUAAAGCUGGGUUCUGAAAGAGCACAGCGUUCCUCUGGCUAUAUGUGCAGUGCGGUGCUGAAGUCAAACGAUGCUCAGAAAAUCCAGGAAAAGUGCUGUGAUGUGGAUUGAAGUUGUCACAUGACUCAGUGGGUCCUAAUGGCAAAUCUGUUAAACUUACCCAAGCAGAUGCAAGUAACUUAACAGGGCUUCCUCCACGGAGGUGUUUUCUGUCAUCACGUGCCUGCAAGAAUUCCUCCAGGGGAAACUUUAUCUCUUUUGGUGCAAGAUGUAUUCAUCACCACUUGAAAAUGAGCAGGUCCUGAGACUUGUAGACCUUUUAGCCAGCUUCACCUCUGUAACUGCAUCCUAGUAUAUAUGCUGUGUGGGCAAUAUUGGUCAUCAAACUCCACUGGAGCAUGGAGCUGGUGCAGACUGCAUGGAGAGUCAGGUGAGAAACCCAUGAAAUCUGUUCUUAUUACUCCAUUGAUUCAAAUGGCAGCACUUGCAGAAGCGUGCUAGUGAGGGGCCUUGCAGAUGUCCACUCUGAUCAUGAAGUUGAAGUUCAGCAGUUUUUCAAGAUGAAAGAAAAAAUGCUUGAUUUUUUCAUUUCCAGAAAAGAAAAAACAAACACCUUUGUGGCUUUUUCUUAUUUAUGACCUCAGCAAGAGACUGUGGAAACACAAUUCACAGAAAACAAGGCACUGAGUAUGGAAAGCAUUCUCAAGUGCCACCCAUAUUUUUAGCUUCUGAUUGUAACUGGGUUUGCAGCAUAAUGGCAUAAAUGUGGAAUUAAGCAUAGGCUUGAAUUUUUACUGAAAUGGUGUCUCUGGAUAGUUGAUAUGUCUCCUGAUGCUGGGAAGAAACAAGUUAUUAGAUGAUUGAAUUAACAGUCUCUUAAAAACCUCUUUCCCCUGCAUAUGCUGUUAUUGGUCGUAGAAUAAAUCAAGUUGUCUCUGCGCUUGGUUAGCUUUGCCCAUGCAUGCGCACAUAAAUAGUAUGGCAAUGCCCAUUGAAUAGACACUCUCUCAGUACCCCAUUGUGUUUGCACAUGCAUGCAUAAGAGUGUUGCAUUUUAAUAUAUAAAGGCCCUUGUUAUGUGGGCUGUGAUGAUGCUUCUGGAAGAAAGCUAGGUUUCUGGAGGGUUCUGUCUUGUGCUGCCAAAGACCCCGUCUCACUGUUUAUCUGCUUUGGGCAAAGGUGUUUGGUUUUUUAGCCCCAAUACAAUACUCACAUUUCACACGAUUGGAUUUCUGUAUGAAAAACAACCUCCUCUCCUUCCUGGAGAUUCCUUCAUUAAAAAAAUGUCACUGAAGUCACUGGAAAGACAGAAAGGUUGCAGAGUUCUUAAAUAGAUGUAAAUACUUCAAAGCAUUUUACCUGUGCAAGUUUAAUUCUGCUCCCUUUGGGGUAUGAGAUACAAUUCAGUGUUUUCCAAAUAAUAAAUCAUUUUAGUUCUACAGGAAGAAUUGUUCAGGCUGGACAAAAUGAUGUAGAACUGUGGCAAACAGUGCUAAAGAGAGACUGUAUAACAGCUAUCACCCCAAGCAUAACAACCAGAACUACAAUGGUAUUACUUUGUCUUCCAGUGUUGCUGCAUUUCCAGACACCAUCUUUUCUGUGGAGGGAACAAGAUGAGGCUCCUAUAGAUUAAGCAGCAUAUGAUCAAGUGGUUAAGAAGUUUGCCAUAGUGUAUAAUGCACUGAAAGCAUGAUUGAAGAUCCUGUUGGAACUCUUAAUAUGGAUUUCUGUGAAAGAAAUCAGACAAGUGGUACUUAAUUAUUCAGUAAUUUAGAACCAUGUAAUGUAUACAUUUGCACACACACACACACACACACACAUAUAUAUAGUGUAGUGGAAAAGAUAAGUGGUGGAGAUAACCAGCUGUGUAAGAUGAUGCUGAAUAAAAGGCAUACAGCUUGCCAU
rnacentral:lncRNA from 7 species